GAAUUCGCCCUUAGAGUUUGAUCCUGGCUCAGGAUGAACGCUGGCGGCACGCUUAACACAUGCAAGUCGAGCGGAGCAUUGAAUUUCGGUUUGGUGCUUAGCGGCGGACGGGUGAGUAACACGUGGGUAAUCUACCCUAUACUGGGGGAUAACGUAGAGAAAUUUACGCUAAUACCGCAUAAGCCUACAGGACCGCAUGAUCCGGUAGGAAAAGCAAUACGAUAUAGGAUGAGCCCGCGACCGAUUAGCUAGUUGGUGAGGUAACGGCCCACCAAGGCGACGAUCGGUAGCCGGUCUGAGAGGAUGGACGGCCACAUUGGGACUGAGACACGGCCCAGACUCCUACGGGAGGCAGCAGUGGGGAAUAUUGCACAAUGGGGGAAACCCUGAUGCAGCGAUGCCGCGUGAAGGAUGAAGAUCUUCGGAUUGUAAACUUCAAUCAGCAAGGAAGAUAAUGACAGUACUUGUGUAGAAGCCCCGGCUAACUACGUGCCAGCAGCCGCGGUAAUACGUAGGGGGCAAGCGUUAUCCGGAAUUACUGGGUGUAAAGGGUGCGCAGGCGGCUUUAUGAGUCAGUCGUGAAACCCGAGGGCUUAACCCUCGGCUUGCGGUUGAAACUGUAAGGCUAGAGUACAGGAGAGGAAAGCGGAAUUUCUAGUGUAGCGGUGAAAUGCGUAGAUAUUAGGAAGAACCCCAGUGGGGAGGGCGGGCUUUCUGGACUGUAACUGACGCUCAGGCACGAAAGCGUGGGGGAGCAAACAGGAUUAGAUACCCUGGUAGUCCACGCAGUAAACGAUGAUGACUAACCGUCGGCGAUACACAGCCGGUGGCCAAGCGAAAGCGAUAAGUCAUCCACCUGGGGAGUACGACCGCAAGGUUGAAACUCAAAGGAAUUGACGGGGGCCCGCACAAGCGGAGGAACAUGUGGUUUAAUUCGAUGAUACGCGAGGAACCUUACCCGGGCUCGAACGGUGCAGGAAGCGAUCCAGAGAUGGUGACGCCCUUCGGGGCCUGCAUCGAGGUGCUGCAUGGUUGUCGUCGGCUCGUGCCGUGAGGUGUCGGCUCAAGUGCCAUAACGAGCGCAACCCUUGUCAGUAGUUACCAGCAUUUAGAGAUGGGGACUCUACUGAGACUGCCACCGCAAGGUGAGAGGAAGGAGGGGAUGACGUCAAAUCAGCACGGCCCUUACGUCCGGGGCGACACACGUGUUACAAUGGUUGCUACAGAGGGAAGCCACCCUGCGAGGGGGAGCGAAUCUCGAAAAGCAGCCUCAGUUCGGACUGGAGUCUGCAACUCGACUCCACGAAGCUGGAUUCGCUAGUAAUCGCGCAUCAGCCAUGGCGCGGUGAAUACGUUCCCGGGCCUUGCACUCACCGCCCGUCA
rnacentral:rRNA from 1 species